AUUGAACGCUGGCCGCAGGCCUAACACAUGCCAGUCGAGCGGAUGAAGGGAGCUUGCUCCUGGAUUCAGCGGCGGACGGGUGAGUAAUGCCUAGGAAUCUGCCUGGUAGUGGGGGAUAACGUCCGGAAACGGGCGCUAAUACCGCAUACGUCCUGAGGGAGAAAGUGGGGGAUCUUCGGACCUCACGCUAUCAGAUGAGCCUAGGUCGGAUUAGCUAGUUGGUGGGGUAAAGGCCUACCAAGGCGACGAUCCGUAACUGGUCUGAGAGGAUGAUCAGUCACACUGGAACUGAGACACGGUCCAGACUCCUACGGGAGGCAGCAGUGGGGAAUAUUGGACAAUGGGCGAAAGCCUGAUCCAGCCAUGCCGCGUGUGUGAAGAAGGUCUUCGGAUUGUAAAGCACUUUAAGUUGGGAGGAAGGGCAGUAAGUUAAUACCUUGCUGUUUUGACGUUACCAACAGAAUAAGCACCGGCUAACUUCGUG
rnacentral:rRNA from 1 species